GUUCAGCUGUAAGAGACUCCGGGGUGAAAAUGUUGAAGACCAGCUCCUCAUUCUUCUUUCUUUUCCUAAUUAAUUGCAAUUGAUCUAAAAAUACUUAUAGCUGGGAAAGUCUCUGAUGCUGGAGCUGGAACAAGUUGCUGAUUUGGUCACAGAACUGGAUCUAAGGCAAGCACAGGGACCCAGGCAAGUCAAGAGGCUGAGGACUCAUAAGUCAGUUCUUGGGGACUGCUCCCCUCAUUAGUUCAGUUUAUUGUGCACUUUCUCCAUUGACUGCGAUGUGUGCAAUUUUCCCACACAGUAGACUCUGGCCCUUUAUGGCUGUAACAUUUACAGUUUAAGCUACUUGAGCGUGAUCUGAAAGUCCAUUCUAUAAGAUAAAAUGCGAAAAUUGCUGAGGCAUGAAUUUGAAUCACUGGAACUGCAAGGGAGUUGUGGGCGAGUCAAUUACCUCGUGUCUGGACCAGCUUCUUGCCCAGUCUCCACCUCUUAGGGCAGCCCUUUCCAGUCUUUCUUCAUUGUUCUGUGUGAGAAGGUUUGGGGACAUAGCCGUGGUGAAUGCUGUGAUUCUGUCAACGAGUAAGAGGCAGAAACUACAAAAGAAGCAAAAAGGUUUAUUUGGGGUCCCAAGAAUUGCAAUUCAGGAGACAUAGUUUCAAGUAGAAACUCAAAUGUGCUCCAAGGAAGACAAAGGAAAGAGGGGUUUAUAAAGGCAAAAAGAGAGAAAUUGCAUAGGCUGUUUUGCAAGAGUUGUGAUUGGUGCCGGCAACAACUGUUACUUCCUGGCUACACGUGAUUGGUUGCUGAGGCCAUCUCUGAGGCAGAAAGUUCUUAUCUACGAGAGUCAGCAUAUUUCUUGGAAGAAGGUCAGGAUGACAGCAGUGAUGCACAGUUCAAAAGUUUACGUACCAUCUGGGUAGAGACGUGCAUAAACCUCACUUCCCUGACGGCCUCCCAGCUCCAUUUUAGAAGGCUUGACAUAUGUUACUCCAUUUUUUAAAUCAUUGUGUACAAUUCUUAAAUGCCUGUGACUACAAACCAAAGCCCAGCCCAGCCCAGCUUUCCUAAACACGCACAAUCAUAAAGAAGACCCAAGGAGCAGUCAACAGAACAAAUUUGAAGCUGCUCAGCAUUAUUUAUUCAUCUUUUAUUGUGGGCUAGGCCUUGUGCUAUGUGUCAUAAGAAAUGCAAAGAUGAAUAUGACCCAGUUUUUGCCCUCAAAGAAAAUACAACCAAUAAGAGUCAAAAACAACACAAAUGACCAUAAUAUAGGGCCGUGCCAGAUAACCACUCUGGGGUGUUUUCCAUACCAACAACCAAUUCUCUGAUUCUCCAGACACCAGUGUGGUAUUCAACAAUUCAAUUCAAUUCUGAUGCUACCUGGCAUUAGUGCAGACCCCACAGGUUAAGGGCUCAAGUCCCACAAGACUGACCCCCACAUCAGACACCAGUCGCAAGUCCUGGGCCUCCAAUAUUUUUGACCCACCAGCUAUAAAUUGGGGGUUCCCAUGACCCCCUCCUCACAUUUGACAAUGUAACCAUGGGCCUGCUAGCACUAGUUCAAACUAACCCCAUCUCUUAUCAACAGAGUGAUUAGGAGUUGUUUUCCAGAAAAUUUGCAAAGUCGCAUAGCCAGAGCAUGUGCAGAAGAGGAAAUCUUGACCUGAAAUGACACUGAAACCAAAGAUUCUCCUCUACACAGAACCAAAGGACUGGGACAUGACUGGAACUCGAAAGUCAGACCCUCAUCAGAGGCCAGGGGUCCAAUUUCUAGGAGGAUCCAAUGUUAAAACCCCUUCCACACUUUACCAUAAAUGUUUAAAACCUUACCAUAGAUAUUGAAAACUCGACCAUAAAUUCUUAAAGCCCUCCAAUCAAAACAUGCCCUGCCAGCCCUUUCUGGGUACCAGCUUGUUGUCCCUAACCUCUUAAAUUUUGCCCCAAAUCCUGAAUCGGGGAGACAGAUCUGAGAGCUUCGGCCUCUUGUCUGCUUGCAGGUCAACCUCUCAAUAAAAGCCUUUUCUUUUCGCAAGAGCUGAUGCCGUAAUAAUUUUUUUUUUAAUGCACAUCAGGCAGAGAACCCCACUUGUGUGGUAACGGCAAUUUGCUAGACUAGCUCACAGAACUCAGGAGCACAUUCUGCUUACAUUUUUUGGUUUAUUAUAAAGAUACAAGUGAAGAUCAAGAUGAAGAGGUACAUAGGAUGAGGUCUGGAGGGGUCUGGAGCACAGGAGCUUCUGUCCCACGGGGUUGGGGUGCACCUCCCCAGUACAUGGAUGUGUUCACCAACUCAGAAGGUGUCUGAACCCUGCAGUUUAGGGGUUUUUAUGGAGGUUUCAUUAUGUAGUCAGGAUUGAUUAAAUCAUUGGCCAUUGGUCAUCAAACUCAAUCUCUAGCCCCUCUUCCCUUCCAGGAGGUUGGAGGGUGGGGCUCAAAGUUCCAAGCUUCUAAUCAAGGCUUGCUCUUUCUGGAGACCAGCCCCAGUCUUGAAGCUAUCUAGGGGCCCUCAGCCGCCAGUCAUCUCGGGAGCGUACAAAAGACAUUCUUAUCACUCUGGACAUUCCACGGGUUUUAGGAGCUGUGUACCAGGAACUGGGGACAAAGACCAAAUAUUUAUUUUUUAUUAUAUCAUAACCCCCGUAAGGAAAUUACAAGGAAAGUGUUAUAUGACUUCAGAGAGAAGACAGAUCAAAUCCAUUUUUUAAGACCUCACAUUGCAAUGUCAUGUAAUGGGAAAGAAUUUGGAUUCUGGAGCCUGCCAGCUCUGGCUUUGACUUCUGGGCAAAUCUCACGGCCACUCUUCUGCUGCUUCAUUGGUAUCCUCAAUCACAAAAUGGAACAAUGUCGAUUCCCCUGGAAGCAGUAAACCACAAUAAGAUGAGGAGAUUACUGCCUGAAACUUGCAAUCCCAUUGUCUGUCAGCCUAUGAAAGAUAAAAAGUGCCACUCGUGUAUCCAGAAAGUCAUUUUUCAGUAGACACAGAUGGCGUGGCUUCCUGACUUCCCCACUUCAUGGAGACUUGCCUUCAGUCUUCACAUGGGACAGUGGCCUGGUUGAAUCCUACAGACAGGAAGAUGGAGGAUGCCUCAACAGUAUUGGAGGAUAAUUGGUAGGGGCUUUAAGGAAGAUAAUGUCCGAUCCCUGACAGUGGCUAGGGGAGAAGGUGACUUGGAAAGGUUUUCUGUCAAUAAAACAGAGUUUCCAGCACACUCUUCUAGGUCCAAAAUGAACCCCUUCACCAUCAAUAACCUCUGUUGUGUCUGCCCUAAGAAAGGGCAUGUGGAGGAGAGACGAUGAAUACCCAUCGGAUGGGUGAUGCCACAGCUGAUGCUGUGGAGCAUCAUGUGGUGAGUAGCCAUUCACAUUUAUUGCACGCAUUAUAUUCAUUAUCUGGUUUAAUCCUAAGGACAAAGUUUGACGUGGGUACUGUUAUUAUUUCCAUUUCAUGGACAAGGAAAUAGAGGCCAGAGUAUGAAAUAAUAUGCCCAACAUCAUGGAGCUAGUUAGUGGUGAA